CUGUAAUAGCUCAAUUGGCCAGUUCAAAAAAUAAGAUCAAGUUGUCAGACAAAACCAUGCGUCAGAAACCAGUAUUUUGGCUCAUUUUUACAAAUAUUGGUUCCAAAUGACCCAAUAAACCAAUCUGUUAAAGAAGCCAGUCAACUAACUAUGACUAGUACUCGAAAUGUUCUACUUUGGAGCCAUUUACAAUAUAGCCAUCUCACUGUUGCCAGAUUUGAUGUGUUGCUCUAUCCAGGACCAUUGUCCACCGAUCAUAGAUAUAAAGAAUUGAUGAAUGUCAAAGAAACUGAAUAUCAAAUGUACAUUGUUGAAAAUAAGUCUGACAGAAUCAUG